UUACUCCUCGUGGGGCUGCAGGCUGGAGCCCGAGGUUGGGCGUCUGUGGGGCUGGGCUCACAGCUGCUCCCUUUGAGGCUGCAGUCGGCCCUUCUCGCUGUCCUCAUGCAGUGGAGAGAGGUGGGAGCUCUUUGGGGCCUCUUUCAUAAGGGCCCUCAUCUCAUUCGUGGGGCCCUUAUCCUCAUGACCUCACCUCCCAAAGGCGCCACCUCCUCACCUUGUAGGUGAGGAUUUCAACAUGUGGGUUAGGGGGACAGCAGUGUUGAGUGCACAGCACCACCCUCCCACAUGCACCCACCUCCUCUCUCCCCUUCCCAUGGGCCCUGGCUCUGCUUGUGUAGCUCAGAUUGUCUUGUUGCAUCAUCUUUCUGCCUCACCUCCUUGCUAAAAUGUCAGCUCCUCAAGAGUGGGGACCCAGUAGUUCCCACCUGCUGUCUGCUGCUCCUGUCUCCUGCCAAACACAGCUGGUGCUUAACGUGUAUCUGCAACACAUGUGAGACAGAAAUGCGGGCAGACAUACCCCUUCCUUGGGGCUCGCAUAUGUGCAGGGAAAGCAGUCGCCGCACGUUGGCCACGUUGCAUCGUUGUCCAUUGUUGAUUCAGUUGUUGCUGGGUGUCUGCUGUGUGCCUGGCACGGUGUAGUGCUGGGGAUAUACUGUCAACAAAAUGUGUUUUGAUUUUAUAUUCUAGCUCAGGGGCAGACAAUAAGCUUAUGAAUAUACAGGACACUAGAGUGAGUGCCACAUGUCGCUUUUGUCCUGAGGCCUCCUCUGACCAACACUAAAGUGACCGUUCCGGCCGUGCUUUACGUUAGUGUCCUGUUUUACUCACCUCACCUCAAAUGUGUGUUCACACACGUGUGUACUGUCUCUCCCCACACCCGACAGGCAUUUCCACUGAUGGGAACAGCCUUUUGGUUAUUGUCAUCACUUAAACCAGGGCCAGGCUUAUAACCAGCUUGCAGAUGUUCGCUGAAUGAAUGGACUCUCCUCCAGCUCUCUCCUGGGUCACGUGUCUUUGUGAAUCUUCCAGACCACGGGCCUUGCUUUGGUGCAGUGAAAGAAGGAAAAGUUGAUAACUUAAUAAUUGAACCUGUGUUUAUACAUCCAUUCCCCCACCUACUUGCUCAGUCAGUAUCCUCUGGGCUCAGCUCGCUGUGGGUUACCCAUGUGGGCUAUUCUCAUUCCUACCAGGCAGCUGAUCAGCCCCAUUCCUGUGCCAGUGCAUGGAGGGUGUAGGCCAGAAGAGGACUGUGCCAAAGCAGGCUGCAGGUUUACAAACCACGUGUCCCUGCUCAGGGUGUUGGCUGAGGCUGGCUCCUAGUCACAGCCUGCGCAGGCAUGGACGGAUGGUGGAUGCCAUGACCCAGCCUGGUCCACAGAUGGGGCGGGAUGAAUGUGCCAGACUUUCCAGAGAAGAACAGUCCAGGAGACCCUCAGCAUAAAGUCUCCUGAAAACAACGCAGUCUGACAGUCCUGAAGGCCAGCCCUGUCUUUGCAGGGGCUUGUAGAGAACACCAUUCCCAGCUCCCCAUUUUACAGAAGGGAAAACUGAGGCCCAGAGAUCGGAUGAAGCUUAGCAACACAAGCAAAAUCUGUAUUGUCCAUGGCUGUUCAGAAGCAUUGCGGUUACCUCACCAGGCAAUGUUGAAGAGGCUAUCACAGAAGCCUCAGGGUAGUGGUUUUCAAUAGGUGCCCCCAAACCAUUGGUGUUCCUUUAAAUGGUCCUUGCAAGAUUGUCCCCAGCUCACUGACUCAGCAUGUGAACUCGGAUUCACUUGCAGCUGGCAUUCAAAAGGAGACACAGGGCUGUGACUUGUUCACAAGAUCAGGCAAGGCACAAACCAGCUUGUAGUGGCAGCUUGAGGAUGGCAUCAGGUGGUGAUUGUAAUUAUUUUUAGAGUUACAAGAUCCUGGGUAAAGUGUUAAAAUGCCAAUAGCCACAACACAGAGUAUCUUCUUAGAGAACCAAGUGAGAGUCUGUUGAGUCAAGUCCUAGGCUGUGGAUGGGGACUAGGAGAUCAUGUGUGAUAGUCCCCUUCAGAGCACAGUCUGAACAGUCUGAACAGGAAGGAGGACUUCAGAAGCAUGGUAGCCACAGAAACGUGAGCCUCACCUCUUCAGUGCUGCCCCCAGAAAUCCACCACCACUGCACGUGCUUCCCAGUGCACCAUGGACAGCACCGCUAAGCUCCCAGUGCAGGACUGUUCCUGGGAGACACGGGGCCCUCCGAGUGUGCAUCUGACAGCCUGGCUGAGCGCACCUAGAAAUGCAGUGCAGUCUCAGAUGUACCCCACCUUCGCUUCCCCCCUCCCCUGUGCCCUGACUGUGUCAAUGUCCUCCAGUGCUCCCAGCUCCCUCCCGCCCUCCCCAUCUUCCCUCACAGGCCUAGUCCCUAAUGAAUCUCUUACCUAGCUGUUUCCAUCUAGAUGUCUGCUUCUCAGAGGAUGCCGGUAAACACAGGAGGCCAUGAGCUCACCCCGGGGGGUUCCGUUGCUUUGAGCAUCUUUGGAGCAGCCCUCAUGCAGCAUGGGGCUCUGGGCUGCCUGUCUCUGUGGUUCCUGGUGAUUUGGGAGCUCGGGAGCCACGGGUCACUCCUUAGCAUCAUGCGCACAGGUCACAAAGUAGAGUCCAACUCUCCCAGCCUUCUCAGGCCUCCAGUGUAGUGGGAAGCUCUGAAAGUCAGGGCAGCCUGGCUUCACAUCAAGGCCUUUAUGGAGGGAGGCAAGUUAAUGAGCAGCCUCCCUGCCACCUGCCAGUCCCGACUCAGUGCCGCCCAUCCCUGUGCUGCUGUGCCUGCUCAGAGCCAUCUGGCUCCCUGGGAUUUGAGUCUGCUGUUUCUCCUCUCUCUCUCUGCAGGGGUGCUGAUGGUCUGUAUAGUGAUUGGUGCUCGAAAGCUCGGGGUCAACCCAGACAACAUUGCCACACCCAUUGCAGCCAGCCUGGGAGACCUCAUCACAUUGUCCAUUCUGGCUUUGGUUAGCAGCUUCUUCUACAGACACAAAGAUAGUCGGUAUCUGAUGCCGCUGGUCUGCCUCAGCUUUGCAGCUCUGACCCCAGUGUGGGUCCUCAUUGCCAAGCAGAGCCCACCCAUCGUGAAGAUCCUGAAGUUUGGCUGGUUCCCAAUCAUCCUGGCCAUGGUCAUCAGCAGUUUUGGAGGACUCAUCUUGAGCAAAACCAUUUCUAAACAGCAGUACAAAGGCAUGGCGAUAUUUACCCCCGUCAUAUGUGGUGUUGGUGGCAAUCUGGUGGCCAUUCAGACCAGCCGAAUCUCAACCUACCUGCACAUGUGGAGUGCACCUGGUGUCCUGCCCCUCCAGAUGAAGAAAUUCUGGCCCAACCCAUGUUCUACUUUCUGCACGUCAGAAAUCAAUUCCAUGUCAGCUCGAGUCCUGCUCUUGCUGGUGGUCCCAGGCCAUCUGAUUUUCUUCUACAUCAUCUACCUGGUGGAGGGUCAGUCAGUCAUAAGCAGCCAGACCUUUGUGGUGCUCUACCUGCUGGCAGGCCUGAUCCAGGUGACAAUCCUGCUGUACCUGGCAGAAGUGUUGGUUCGGCUGACUUGGCACCAGGCCCUGGAUCCUGACAACCACUGCAUCCCCUACCUUACAGGGCUGGGGGACCUGCUCGGUUCAAGCUCCGUGGGCCACACUGCUGCUGUGCCAAGAAGGUGUACAGCCUCCCCAGGAUGGGGCCUUGUACAACCCUUCAUCUGCACUCAACAUUUAAUCGUGUCCUUGCUGUCUUUUUAUUUUCCUUUUUGUUUGUUAGCAAAAACCUCUGUUUAGAUUUCAAUAAUCAGAGAAGUGUAAAAUAAAACAGAUUACAUUGU
rnacentral:sRNA from 1 species